AGCAGCCGCGGUAAUUCCAGCUCCAAUAGCGUAUAUUAAAGUUGCUGCAGUUAAAAAGCUCGUAGUUGAAUUUCGGGAUCAAGGAAUCGGUCAUGCCUUGGUAUGUACUGGUUUUAUUGGUUCUCACCUUCUAAAGAACCAUAAUGUCAUUCAUUUGAUGUUAUGGGGAAUUAGGACUGUUACCUUGAAAAAAUUAGAGUGUUUAAAGCAGGCUUACGCUUGAAUACAUUAGCAUGGAAUAAUGAAAUAGGACGUUUGAUUCUAUUUUGUUGGUUUCUAGGAUCGACGUAAUGAUUAAUAGGGAUAGUUGGGGGCAUUAGUAUUCAAUUGUCAGAGGUGAAAUUCUUGGAUUUAUUGAAGACUAACUACUGCGAAAGCAUUUGCCAAGAAUGUUUUCAUUGAUCAAGAACGAAAGUUAGAGGUUCGAAGGCGAUCAGAUACCGCCCUAGUUCUAACCAUAAACUAUGCCAACUAGCAAUUUGCUUAUGUAUGUUUUAUGACUAA
rnacentral:rRNA from 1 species